GUUGUAAAUGAGAACUUGUUCUCAACUGGCCUACCUGGUUAAAUAAAGGUGAAAUAAAUAAAAAAAUAAAAAAGAGGCACCAUACCCCAAAUGAGUUGACUGCACGUGCCAAAAACAUGUCUUCCUGUGGUGAAGAAGACGCUCUUAUCCAACACGUCAAAGUUUACUUGCCCACGUGGAAGUUGGAGGAAAACCUUUGAAAGGAUGUCAUCCAAUUGCAGUGUGACCACGUUACAGCUGGACUCGGUGAGACAGGCAGAAUGCCACCCUGUUCACCUGCUACCCUGCAGAGGUGUCCCAGUUCUUUACAGCCACCAUCAAAGACUGAAAACAUGAGAAAACUGUCUCGUUCAGGGGUCGUGGGUUAAAAGGUCAGGAGCUGUCCACAGGGCUACACAGGCCUGGUGCGAAGAGAGGUCAACAAACCAGGCUCUGACCAGGAAGUAAACAAUAAACACUGCCUUAAAUCAUCACUGUCUGGCCAAAAUUCACAUAAUCUACCAUAGCAGGUCAACAACUCACAAGGAAUACUGUCAGAAUCUGCUCAAAUCUGUCUGUAAUCACUGACCAAAAUCUACAAAACAUUUGCCACUGGGCAACAACUCACAAAGAUAGCUAUAAUCAAUGUUUGUGCUAUGAUCCCCACACCAACCAGGAAAUAUGAUACACUUCCUUUUCCAUUGUCUGCAGCUUGGACACAUACUGUACAACACCAUGCUGCAUAUUUAAACUCUUCACUCACUGACAGUAAUGCUAUUUGUGAGCUAAUGUGUGUGUCCAGGACAGGGAAGGUGUCCUCAGUGUUCAAUAACAUCACCUACUGGAAUCUCGAGACUCCACCCAACUCUGAUGACGGCAUCGUCAUGGCAAUGGCCUGAUCUGGCAGAAAUGGCGAGUGUGCAAAACAAUAAUUUGUUUUAAGAGGACCAUUAGCAUGCUUUACCAUAUGUGGCCCAGGCGUAAUAACACAUGAUUCAUCUUUGACAGAUACACAUGCCAGUGGAUGACUGACAUGGAAGAGGCCAAAGCAAAGAUCAAUCCCUUCUCUACCCUCCUUUUCAUGCUGCAGCCUGAAGACUGCCUCUAAACAUAUUGGUUGUGUUUUCAGUAGCCAUUGCUUAGUUUGUGAAAAUAGGAAUAAUGGACAAUGGGUAGAACAUUCCUCACAGUCCCUAGUGUUGUAGUGGACACUGUGUCUAUCUUUUACAGAUCCAUA